CCGCGUGCAGGAUGACGGUCCUAUGGAUUGUAAACUGCUUUUAUACGAGAAGAAACACUCCGACGUGUCGGAGCUUGACGGUAUCGUAAGAAUAAGGAUCGGCUAACUCCGUGCCAGCAGCCGCGGUAAUACGGAGGAUCCAAGCGUUAUCCGGAAUCAUUGGGUUUAAAGGGUCCGUAGGCGGUUUGGUAAGUCAGUGGUGAAAGCCCAUCGCUCAACGGUGGAACGGCCAUUGAUACUGCCAGACUUGAAUUACUGGGAAGUAACUAGAAUAUGUAGUGUAGCGGUGAAAUGCUUAGAGAUUACAUGGAAUACCAAUUGCGAAGGCAGGUUACUACCAGUGGAUUGACGCUGAUGGACGAAAGCGUGGGUAGCGAACAGGAUUAGAUACCCUGGUAGUCCACGCCGUAAACGAUGGAUACUAGCUGUUGGGAGUAAUCUCAGUGGCUAAGCGAAAGUGAUAAGUAUCCCACCUGGGGAGUACGAACGCAAGUUUGAAACUCAAAGGAAUUGACGGGGGCCCGCACAAGCGGUGGAGCAUGUGGUUUAAUUCGAUGAUACGCGAGGAACCUUACCAAGGCUUAAAUGUAGAUUGACCGGUUUGGAAACAGACCCUUCGCAAGACAAUUUACAAGGUGCUGCAUGGUUGUCGUCAGCUCGUGCCGUGAGGUGUCAGGUUAAGUCCUAUAACGAGCGCAACCCCUGUUGUUAGUUGCCAGCGAGUCAWGUCGGGAACUCUAACRAGACUGCCAGUGCAAACUGUGAGGAAGGUGGGGAUGACGUCAAAUCAUCACGGCCCUUACGCCUUGGGCUACACACGUGCUACAAUGGCCGGUACAGAGAGCA
rnacentral:rRNA from 1 species